rnacentral:rRNA from 1 species
UACGUAGGGGGCAAGCGUUGUCCGGAAUUACUGGGCGUAAAGCGUGCGCAGGCGGUUUUGUAAGCCAGAUGUGAAAGCCCCGGGCUCAACCUGGGAAUGGCAUUUGGGACUGCAAGGCUUGAGUGCGGCAGAGGAGACUGGAAUUCCUGGUGUAGCAGUGAAAUGCGUAGAUAUCAGGAGGAAUACCGAUGGCGAAGGCAGGUCUCUGGGCUGACACUGACGCUCAUGCACGAAAGCGUGGGGAGCAAACAGG